AUGUCAUUUGUACUAAAUCAUUCACUAGUACUCGCUAAAGGAGAGCUUGAACCUAUAAACUUGUGUAAACCCUUCAUAAUUAAUGAGAACUCCUCUACUCCGUGGACGUAGCCAAUCUGGGUGAACCACGUACAUCUUGUGUUUGCUUCCCUAUCUCUAUCCAUUUACAUACUUAUCCACACUAGUAACUGGAGCUAUCUAGCGAAGGUCACAAACUUAACACUUUCUGUUGUACCAAAGUCCUCACCGAUUUUGUGCAUCAACAUUUGGCGCCGUCCGUGGGAACGACACUUAUUCCCAUUCUCUUCAGCUUUGUUAAGCUGGUUUCCACCAUUCGUACACUCUCUUUUGACUAGGUAUCACUUUCCAACAUAGGGAGCGAAGGAAGUCACAGCACACAGAAUUACACCCAUCUUGCACCUAGUGCGAAGCAACGAAAGAAUGAAGGAAAGAGGGUUGUUCUUCAAGCUAAAGUCGAUGAGCUAGAAGCUCGGAACAACAAGAUAGCAAUGAAGAAUGAGGUCCUCCAGAAGCAGUAUGAGAAGCUUUUUGAGACGCUCCACAAAACUAGGCGUACUCAAACAUGUGAGCUUGUUGCCACUGUGGACAUCAACCAUCAUCUGGGUGCCCCCCAACACCGAGGGUCACCUCC
rnacentral:lncRNA from 1 species